rnacentral:rRNA from 1 species
GAUGAACGCUGGCGGCGUGCCUAACACAUGCAAGUCGAACGAGAUGCGUAUUGGAAAGCUUCGGCCGGAAGAUGCGUUAUCUAGUGGCGGACGGGUGAGUAACACGUGGGUAACCUGCCUUAUGGAGGGGGAUAACAGAGAGAAAUCACUGCUAAUACCGCAUAAGCACACAUUGCCGCAUGGCAGAGUGUGAAAAGAUUUAUCGCCAUAAGAUGGACCCGCGUCUGAUUAGCCAGUUGGCAGGGUAAAAGCCUACCAAAGCAACGAUCAGUAGCCGAUCUGAGAGGAUGACCGGCCACAUUGGGACUGAGACACGGCCCAAACUCCUACGGGAGGCAGCAGUGGGGAAUAUUGCACAAUGGGGGAAACCCUGAUGCAGCGAUGCCGCGUGAGUGAAGAAGUAUUUCGGUAUGUAAAGCUCUAUCAGCAGGGAAGAUAAUGACAGUACCUGACUAAGAAGCCCCGGCUAACUACGUGCCAGCAGCCGCGGUAAUACGUAGGGGGCAAGCGUUAUCCGGAUUUACUGGGUGUAAAGGGAGCGUAGACGGAGUGGCAAGUCUGAAGUGAAAACCCUGGGCUUAACCUGUGGACUGCUUUGGAAACUGUUAAUCUAGAGUGUUGGAGAGGUAAGUGGAAUUCCUGGUGGUGGCGGGUGAAAUGCCGUGAUAUCAUGAAAAACACCCGGAAGCGAAUGCUGGUUACUGUACAUGAACUGACGUUGAGGCGUGGAGUCGGUGUGGAUGAAAAAUGAUGAUUACCCUGGUAGUCCGGGGCGAUUUGCCUGUGUGUGUCAGCUUAUGUGUUCCGUGACGCGGGGUGUGAGACAAGUAACUAGCGUGGUUCCCUUUUGAGGUGGGUUAACUUGCUGUUGCUGAUCCUCUUGGUGUGUGGUG